rnacentral:rRNA from 1 species
UAGCAUAUCAAUAAGCGGAGGAAAAGAAACCAACAGGGAUUGCCCUAGUAACGGCGAGUGAAGCGGCAACAGCUCAAAUUUGAAAUCUGGCUUCGGCCCGAGUUGUAAUUUGCAGAGGAUGUUUAUGGUGCGGUACCUUCCGAGUUCCCUGGAACGGGACGCCACAGAGGGUGAGAGCCCCGUCUGGUUGGAUACCAAACCUGUGUUAAACUCCUUCAACGAGUCGAGUAGUUUGGGAAUGCUGCUCUAAAUGGGAGGUAAAUCUCUUCUAAAGCUAAAUACUGGCCAGAGACCGAUAGCGCACAAGUAGAGUGAUCGAAAGAUGAAAAGCACCUUGAAAAGGGGGUUAAACAGUACGUGAAAUUGUUGAAAGGGAAGCGUUUAUGACCAGACUUGUGUCGUGUGGCUCAUCCGAGGUUCUCCCCGGUGCACUCCAUGCGGCUCAGGCCAACAUCGGUUCUUGUUGGAGGAUAAGAACAGUAGGAACGUAGCUCCUCUUCGGGGGAGUGUUAUAGCCUAUUGUACGAUACUCUGACGGGGACCGAGGACCGCGCUUCGGCUAGGAUGUUGGCGUAAUGGUCAUUAGCGACCCGUCUUGAAACACGGACCAAGGAGUCGUCCAUUAGAGCGAGCGUUUGGGUGUAAAACCCGCACGCGUAAUGAAAGUGAAAUUAGGUGAGAGCUUCGGCGCAUCAUCGACCGAUCCUGAAGUUUACGGAUGGAUUUGAGUAAGAGUUUUAACGGACGGACCCGAAAGACAGUGAACUAUGCUUGAAUAGGGUGAAGCCAGAGGAAGAUACUGGUGGAGGCUCGCAGCGGUUCUGACGUGCAAAUCGAUCGUCAAAUUUGAGCAUGGGGGCGAAAGACUAAU